UAGGCAGGGGAAGCCAGGUUUCCUCAGAAAUAAAUUAUUUGAGACGUAAUACGCAUUUGAAAUACUACUUAAUGAAACAUUUCACGUCAUUAUGGAUCAAUUUUGCUUGUGCACAUUAUAUUUCUUCUGUGACUCUGGUGACGAUGUCAUAUCAUACGCUUUUCGCUUUACAGUAGGCUUGCUUGUACAUUAAUGCUGCCGAGGGGAAGCCCUAUGCCCUAUUCAGCUCUGUCCGGGUCGGAACACCCCGCAUGUAAAAUGUACAAAAAAGCUUUCACAGCAGGACAUCUGCGACUAUUGAAUGCCUUUUCAGUAGUUAGAUUUCAAAAAGCCUACUGCUGCUUUAACCUGACCGGAGAGGAUUGAGUAAAAUCUUUGACCUGACCCUGCCAUCAGCUUGCCCACCGAAUCGCUACGGACUUGUGACGUCAGGGAUUUGUUUUACAGAGAGUCGAUAUACCUAAUGCGAUGUGAACCCAUUGAACAACAGAACUGCCAUCCAAAGUUAACUUAACGUUACUUGUGAAACAAUCGGAAUGGUCUGUCCUGCACCACAAAACUACAAAAUGCAUAGACUGGGCAGUUAACGACAGGUGUGUUCCUCACAUGACCAUAAAGCAUGCAUCAAAAUGAAUUUGAAGAUGCUGUCAAAGCUAGUUACUCAACAGACUUCACAAAGUGGUAAAUUGCUGCAUCAAAACACUGGAGACUCAAAGGAACUCAAUUUGCACGAAUGUUUAAUGAACAAUAUAAAUUCAUUGCUUUCAGUGCGUUGCAACUCACGGCCCACUAGCUGUCCAUUUUGUGUGUGUCCUAGGCCUGGGCAAUGAAACGGUAUAACGAUACAAACUACAGUAGACACUUUCUAGAUCCUGCAGGGCCGUUCCUGACAAAAGGCUGGUCUGAACCAAUUCAACUGUCAAAAUGAUCCUGUAGUGUGAGGGCUUUACAAAAAUCUUAACGUUACCAACUUGAUCGGGAGCUCAACGGGAAGUUUCACCAACCAGAGCACAGUAAUAUUAAUAUGGAAUGGCAUCUCCAUGGCAGUCACAAGUGACACAAACAGCCAAUCUUUAUCAAGUGUAUUGCUCGGUUCCACCUUCCACAUGUCAUAGAACAACAUAGGCAGCAUGACAUGUGAAUGAGAAGAUGAUUGCGGUUUGGAAGGAAGCAAGUUUUUGAGUCUGUUUUUGAGUCUGGCCAAGAUCAAAGUAUAGCUGAUCAUGAUUGUGUAGGAGUGUAAUCGUUUUUAACCAACAAACCUGUUUUAUCCAGAACUGAAUAGAAAGAGUGUAGCUCCACUCCCAUUGACUUCAAUGGAACGAAUGGAAGUGCACGGAGAAGCUCAAAAGUUCCAAACAUUGGAUAUAUUAUACUGAUAUUGGCAUUUGUUUUCAGCUUGCAUCAUCGCCCAUGUCAUCUUUCUUCUGAGAUAAAUAAACAUACGUCUAGGCUACUGAAAGUUUGACAGAUGCCUGAAAACAACAACACAUGCUAAAGUAGGGUAUGGUGAGCAAAUCUGGCUACUGUAGACUCUUAACACUGUCCACGUCAGACCUGAUGUGUUUGGACCCAAAUGUUUCAUGAAGUUAGUGUUGUGUAGUGGUGAUUUACAAAGGACAUUUAGAAUGUUUCAUAUUGGUGUUUUAUCAGCAUAGAUGGUGGAAACAUGAUGCGCCUAAUAUUAAAUUGUAAACAAGGCAUAUUAUUCACAUUGUUGUUAAUGUUUCACUUUGAGUAGGUAUGAGAGGGUGUUUUUUUUUAAAUUCUUGAUAACGUUUGAAGGUUUAGUUGGUUUUAUUUUGGUGCAAUGCAAUGCAACACUUUAUUUAGCAAAAAUAGCUUAAUGCAUGUCCCAGAAAUGAGAAACAAUACAGAUUGUGUAUCUUAUCAUAUGUCACUGAUAUAGUUGCCACAAGAUGCUAUGCCAUGGUAUUAUUUAAAUCAGUCUGUCGGCAGGCAAAAGGAAGCACAGACCAAACUAUACUGAAUGCAGAAAAGUUUGUGAUGUGACAUGUUUUUCUUUACUUCACAUUGGAGAAGUCAAUUUUGUCUCCUAAAUAUGUGGCAGUUCAUGAACCAUGAACUAUGUUUGUGUUUUUUCCUUUUUCUUUUCUGCUAUUUGAUGGGUUUUGGUGUGUGGUUCACAUUUAGAGUCGACAAACUCCCAGUUACAUAUAAGAUCUGUCUUCUAUCCAAUAGUGCGUUUGUAAUAUUACUAUGACUUAUAGCUUCUGCAUGGUGAAUAAUACAUUGCAAUCGCGAAAUUGGUCUAACAAACGCAAUUUAAAUAUUUUCCCAUAUUGUUCUGCCCUAGCAGUAAAGAACAUGCUUAAAGUACUCACCUUUUGAGUUUGUUUCUUUUGGAGUGCCCCCAUGACUUCAAAUUGAUUAGGCCUCAUUUACAUUACCUUAAAUGAUUGUUUUGUCAUUCUAUUACAGUCACUUAAUGUUUGUAAUCUGAUCCGGAUCCAGACUGUAUGUGUUAUGUUACUUUCCAUCAUUGACUGAGUUGGCAGUAAAACAUUAUGUUUUGUAAUUGCAGUGAACAGUGGAUGGCAGGAAAUGUCCAUCUCUUCAGCUUUAGACACAUAGCACAAAGGACCCUACCUUAGGGUGUUCUGAUUGCUUAGUGAAGAAAAUGCCAGCAGUGCCAUGGGGUAUGGAAGAGACGGAGUCCACGUUGGAUGACGAUCUACAGUAAGUUAUAUGCUCUCUUUACUAUUGUUCAGGCCUGGGCGAUAAAAUAAGAACUCAAUAGCAAUCAGAAAACUAUUAACAGCACAGUAUCAAUGUCUUAUUAUUGAUGAUGAUAUUGCGCAAAUUAUGCUCUUCGGGAGCACAUACUCGUCUUUGGUAUUCUAGAACACACAUUGUGGGCACAUACAUGCGCCUGAGGCAGUAAAUGGGUUAAACAGAUGUUCCGUCAAAGUCAAAUGCAGUUUUUUAAUUGGCUAAUUAGCAGCAGAUACAAGUCCAGAUACAAUAGUAUGUGUAGAUAGUAUGCAUAUCAUAUUUGUAAUUGUCUCUGAAAUCAAAUCAUUAAAUAAAAUAAUCAAAUAAUCAUGAACCGCAAUGACGAGCUGUUGCAGAGUCAGAGACUGCGCAAAACAUGUACUAGAUUUAAAUAUGGCAGCCAUCUCCUUUCAGGUAGUCACCUUGUGCAGUGAUACCCUGCCCCGACUGCUCCUGCCAUGCUCUGAAGUCCUGUUCAUUAAGUGUAUCCAGCACCAGCUGCCAUGUGCUCUGAAGUCCUGUUCUUUAAGUGUAUCCAGCACCAGCUGCCAUGUGCUCUGAAGUCCUGUUCUUUAAGUGUAUCCAGCACCAGCUGCCAUGCUCUGAAGUCCUUUUCUUUAAGUGUAUCCAGCACCAGCUGCCAUGUGCUCUGAAGUCCUGUUCUUUAAGUGUAUCCAUUACCAGCUGCCAUGCGCUCUGGAUCUCCUCCACUUUGCCACAGCCCAGAAACCUAACCUGACCAAUAGAUCCUGAGCAGCAGGAUACUAAAACAACACACAACUGGCUGACCAAUAGAUCCUGAGCAGCAGGACACUAAAACAACACACAACUGGCUGACCAAUAGAUUCUGAGCAGCAGGACACUACACCAACACACAACUGGCUGACCAAUAGAUCCUGAGCAGCAGGACACUACACCAACACACAACUGGCUGACAAAUAGAUUCUGAGCAGCAGGACACUACACCAACACACAACUGGCUGACCAAUAGAUCCUGAGCAGCAGGACACUAAAACAACACACAACUGGCUGGUGACCGCUCCAAUACGAGCCUCAUGUUGUACUCAUGAUCCGUAAAGGCCCUCCUUCACAGUACAACAUGUGAUGUCUGUAGCCCACAGGUUCUAAACACAACAACAUGCAACCAUAGAACCUGAGCAGCAGGAUGCACUGGGGUUUUGAAGCAGGCGCGUUUCAUCAGUGUUCCGUUGAGUUGGGUCCAUUAGGUUAUGUUCUUUCUGUAAUAUGAGCUCACCUUUUUUUUUUUAUUAUUAAUAUGUCACAAUUUUUAGAGGCAUAUGUCUGCCGUGU
ensembl:lncRNA